GGCAGAGAGUGGGUGGAGCCUGACCAGCACCGAGGGACAUUCAGCAACUUGGGAUGGGGGUGGGAGCGAGAGGGGCACUACAAGGUCCUGCAGUGCUAGGAAAACGAAUAUGUUUUGCUGGCACUGGAGAAUCCCUUUCACUAUUUCUCAUUUUCCUACAUGAACAGAUAAAUACAUUGUAAUUUCCAGAUGGACAACCAAACCUAUGGGCAUCAUGGCUGGUAUUCUAAUGAUACCAAAGAACCCUGCCCUACCUGUGGCUGUAGGAUGGGUACCAAAAUAUGAUAAAAAUGGGGAGGUAUAUAGUCCAGAUUUAAA